AAAAAAAAAAGCUGGUUGAAAAACCAGCUUACCUAUCAUCCAAUACCCAUGUGCAUUGAUUGAGCCUUUUGGUUUUUUUUAACCAAAAGGUGAAUCUCCAAUCUUUCCUGGUUGUUUUGACUGAAAAAAAAAAAUAAAAUAAAAUCCAAUA
rnacentral:misc_RNA from 1 species